GAUGAACGCUGGCGGCGUGCCUAAUACAUGCAAGUCGAGCGAACGGACGAGAAGCUCGCUCCUCUGAUGUUAGCGGCGGACGGGCGAGUAACACGUGGAUAACCUACCUAUAAGACUGGGAUAACUUCGGGAAACCGGAGCUAAUACCGGAUAAUAUUUUGAACCGCAUGGUUCAAAAGUGAAAGACGGUCUUGCUGUCACUUAUAGACGGAUCCGCGCUGCAUUAGCUAGUUGGUAAGGUAACGGCUUACCAAGGCAACGAUGCAUAGCCGACCUGAGAGGGUGAUCGGCCACACUGGAACUGAGACACGGUCCAGACUCCUACGGGAGGCAGCAGUAGGGAAUCUUCCGCAAUGGGCGAAAGCCUGACGGAGCAACGCCGCGUGAGUGAUGAAGGUCUUCGGAUCGUAAAGCUCUGUUAUUAGGGAAGAACAUAUGUGUAAGUAACUGUGCACAUCUUGACGGUACCUAAUCAGAAAGCCACGGCUAACUACGUG
rnacentral:rRNA from 1 species